rnacentral:misc_RNA from 1 species
AAACAUAUGGACCCGACUGGGUUCCGUGUUGGGCCUCGCCUCUAUCUUAGUGGCGUUGCCUUGAAGGUAUCGGUUUCACAGAGCGGACGGGAUCCUUAUGGACUGACCGUUUCGUGGCCGGAAUUUUAACUCUG